rnacentral:lncRNA from 1 species
UCCUCGUAUAAUUUCAUGAUAUCAGAUCUAGCGAUGCUUUUACAUAUAGACUUAAAUAAUGGUUGGAGUCCCCGAAAAAAAUCCCUAAAACCAUUGUGUUAAAUAAUACUAAGUUGGUAAUCAUGAUUCGUGAUUAUAUUAGCAAUAUCAGUUCAUAAAUCAUCAAAGUUGAAAUGAUAUGUUGCUAAAGUUGAUCCCAUAUUUUAUUUGGUCUUAGAUCUUUUCCCAGUUAAAUGACUAUAAAAAUCAUCAAUUUUUGUCUUAUUCAUAUCUUACAUGUUCUUAGGUGAGUGUGCAAAGAGUUGGUUUAUUUUUACUUUGAUAAGGAAAUUCCUUUCUAUAAUAAUUACAAAAGGCCAUCAUUAACCUUCUUUAAUUUGAAAUGGCAUUAUAUUUCUAAGUAUUUUGUCGUCAUUAUCUUUAGUUGUAGAAUUAGUGGUACUUGUAAACUGCAUUUGAAUCAUUUAGUUGAUUCGGCUCUACUGAAGACAUGACAUCAGAAACAGGUUUACACAAAAACAAAAAUCAACCUUACUAUUAUAAACACAAUUCAAACUUGAAAAUAGAUAUCAUAAAUCUAACAUUUUACUUCUGAAUUUUGAAACACCAAAAUAGAAAAUAUAACAGACUACCAGUUUACUUAUAAAAUCAAUAACUUAUUAACACAAACAUUGCUCAAUCUAAGAAUAAAGAGACAUAAUAUGAGAAACUAUUCAUGAGAAUCUAAGAUAUAAAGAAAAUUAGAAUUUGAGAAUGAGAUAACCAGGUUAUAGGAAAUGACGAUGGUCGAUGGCAGUACACAACAACUAUGAUCGAUAGUGGUGAUGUGUUAUUUUAUACUAAAAACUUAUCAAAAUCUAAAAUCUAAUCUAUCAUAACAUAACUAAUACUAAUAGACACUUAACCUAAUCAUGCAAUAGUAUAACGAUGGUCAAUAAGGGUAUCGAACUCUCGGGAAAUGGGUAUGAGUCAAUUUCAGAUUUUACUAUUAAUUAAACUAAAGAAUUUUAAACGAAUGAAGAUUUUUCUAAUAAAGUUUAGAAAACUUAACAGUGCAAUCAAACUAACAAUAUUAAGCAAAUAAAUAUUUGAAAACAAGAUUUUAAAAAGAUACUUUUGUUUAGAUUCAAAUCUCCUCUCUACUAUGGUGAUUUCCUUAAUAAUGCAAUGAUUUAAACUUUGUUAUUUACUGAUUCCUGAAUUGAUUCAUUUUCUGAUUAGAUUACCAAUCAUUCAAUCUAACAAAUUCUUAAGUACGAUGAUCAAUUGUAUUAAUUACCUUAAAACUAGUAUUAAGUUCAAAACAUAAAAGACUUAAUUCUAUUCUAGAAUUAUGAUAAAUUUAAUUAACCAUUCAUAGUAGAUUAUUAUGUAUAUUCUUACACAUUAGAGUUACUGGUUCUAUUCUUUAACCUUUGGUUUUGAUUAAAACACUAGUCAUACAAUUCUAUGAUUCAUAAAAUUUAUAUGAUUCAAGCAUACAAAGAAACUUUGUUUAUCAAUCUAAAUAUACUCAACAAUAAACAAUAAAAACAACAACUUUAGCACAUAAUGAUUUUUAUCAAAUAUUCAUAUAUUAUAAAUAACGAAUUUAAUAUGAAAUCAUCGAAAUCAACACAUAGUUUUGAGUUUCAUCUACUCUAAACGAAAAUAAAGGGUUUUUAUCCCAUAAUCAUAUUAGAUAGACAACUAAAAAUAUUAAAAACUAUGCUAGACUUGAUUAGAAUAACAAAAUCAAAUGACUUUAAUGCUUUUCUUCACUUGAUUUCUUAAGAUCUUUCUUUGAUAUUGAUUUUUUUUCUCUUCUAGUUCUAGAGACGUUCUUUCUGAGGUUUCUUUUGUCGUAAUUCUUCAUCUCCAAGACUUCUCUUUUUUUUAAAGGCAAAAGUAUAUUUGUAUUUAUAAAGUUUCCUUAUUUUAAAAGUUCGCACAGCUAAGAUAUUAUUUUUGCGUCACUAAGCAUUAUCUUAUCACGUGUUCUCUAAGCUUCAAAUAGAUCAUCCUUAUUACUUGGUUACCAAUUUGCAUUGUGAAGAUCGUAUGAUAGUGGUGCUAAACGUCUAAUCUUCCAAACUUUUAUGUCUUUAAUAUUUUUACUCUUUUUCCUUCUAAAGUGUGGUAAUUUGGUUUCAUUUUAUUUAAAGCCAUUUUGAAAGCUACAAAACAAAAUAUAAUCUAUUUAAGUAUCAUCUUCUUAUUUUUCAUACUAAAAUAUGGUUAAAACUAAGAUAAAACAUAAGAUAUACAAAAUACAUCAUUUGUCGGCUUUUUUGCCGUCAACCAAACAUAGAGUAAUAACCUAAAAAUAUUUAAAAUUUCACUAAAAGUCCUAAUUACUCAAAAUUGCAAACUUAUAUAAUAUUUUAGCAAAAGCCUUAUUAUUUAAUAGUUUUCAUGAUUUCAAAAAUAUAAACUAUUUAACUUCUUUUUUCACUUCUCAAUUUUUUUACUUUUUACUAUAUUAUUUUAUUACUUUUUACACAAAUUAAAAUACAUGAAUAUUAUAUAUCGUAGAACCAAUGACUUUCGAUGAAGCUCAUAUAAUGUAUUCUUCCAAUCCGAUCUAAGUUAAUGCACGUCAUGUGGUUAGAUGUAAAACAUCCUUCAAGGGUUAAUUGAGGGUUACUCGUCGCACUUCAAAGGUCACACGUUGGUUCCACUAUUAACGCGCGUGUAUGUAUAUAUAUAUAACUAAAAAUUUAAAAUUUUACUCAAAAUUUGAUAAUAAAUUAUCAUACCUUAUUAGCAUCAAAUACACAUUACAUGUAUUUACUAUUUUGGUCAAAAAUUAAUAAAAUAAUUUCAUAACCAAAUUAGUAAGUGUUGUAUGAUAUUAAAAAUGAGAUGUUAAAAGCUAGGGUGCUUAAGAUUCUUCAAAUACGUCAGAGAUCUUGGUUAUGCCCAAGCUCUAGGAAAAAGACAAUAAUAUUAAGAAAACUGAUUGAUAAAGUUAAUUCGUUUUAUGGUAAAAGAAAAUGCAUUUGGAAUAUUUGGGAUAAAAUAGCGUUAAAAUUAUUAAUAAAUGAUUUUACGUAAAUUGGUAACAGAAUACUCAAAAAGGUAUCAAGAUACCACAUAAUAUCUUGAUAAGUUGACAUGAAAACAAAUAAACAAUCAAAUAAGUAUGCAAACAGUGUUGUAAUCAUUUAAUCAAUUAUAGAUAAAGGAAAUGAAAGCAAGAACAUAGUGAUGUACGGGGAAAUCCCUUAAUCCUUUAAGAUCGUCAGCAUAAAACCUCAGGCGGUGAUAAAAUCACAUGCCUUUUAACUUAUGUUAAAUAAAUAAUAAUAAUUACAUGUGUUAGCCGAUCUUAGAAAAAUGUGAUUGUGCUCAAGAUUCGAAAGAAUCAGAGAGGAAGAAGUGAAUGUGUUUGUGUGAAUAUGAUCAACUAGUCUUUUUAUACAUAAUGAUAAUAACUAAAAUUUCGAGAAUAUUGGGAUUCUCUUUGAUCCUUUAUUGACCCGAAUUUAUUGAAGGUCUUCAACGUUCUUCAAGUAUUGACCAUGUGUUAUUGACUUGGUCUAUUUCUUUUCCGUUAAGCCUUGAUUCCCUACACAAGUUCUCAUAGAAAAUAUAGUGGCAUGCUAAGAUACUGAAUAAAUUCAAGAUCUUGGGCUUGCACGGGAUGUUAGUUCAAGUUCAAGAUAUAAUAAGUCAAAAUUUAUACCUACAACAAUUGCCCCCAGAAAUCUUCAAUCCAAGAUUCUGGUGAUUGGAGAUUUCUAAGCGUGAAAUUUUCUCAACAAGUUAAGAUGCGGCUCGACACGUCUCUCCAAGACCGAUCCUGUCAGUCUGUUUAUUUAGGAGAUUUGAAUUUUUGAAGGGCCAUGAACUUUAGAACAGAGCCUCAUAUAAAUCUGAGCUACUACCUUCAUUAUGCUACAAUCAUAAUGAAGACAGUUAUAAGGGUCAUCGUUGGGUAUAACAUGAACUACUUGAUAGGAGUAUGUAGUCAAGAUGGACAUCUAAGACCUUACUAAAAAGUUGAACACCACAUGACAUUGACCGCGAUCCAUAUUUCAUGUUCAACUUGGUGUCUGAGGCAAAGGAAUAACUGAUACCACACCUUAGUAACAAUUGUAGCUUUGAUCUCCUGAAAUUGGUUGUUGAUGAAAUGUUGCCCUUCGUAUGUUGUUAGGGGCAGUAGCUGGUGGGCGUCGAGACCACCAAAUAAAAAAAAACCUCAAUACGACGACAUACAAAAAUGAAUUGUAAUAGCGGUAAAAGGGAUCGAAUCCACAUGGAUUGGUUCGAAUCAAAUCUAUGCAUUUAGUUUCUACGAAAUAAAAAAAAAUAUAAAAUGAUAUGGGGGUUUUCAAAUGUUAAAUGCGAUAAAAAACUAUUUUAUAAAAAUAACAAAAAUGGAAAAAUACAAAAUCUAUAAUAUAAAACGUUCCAAUAUCGGGAUAAAUCACAAGUUCAAUUAGUUGACUAAUCAUCAUAAUUUUGUGGUGCAAUGAGUUUAAUGGAUACUAAUUUGGCUAUAGCAAUCUAAGAAGCUUGAGAUCACCUAGACUUUUCUUAGUUAAUACAAUGGUUAGAGAAGCUCAUAACACAUUUUCUUAGUUAAAGUCAUAAUUUCCAUAAAGCAUGUAAUUAAUGAAAAUUAACUAGCAUUAAGAUUUAAAAGUCACCAAAUCCAAGAGGAGUCAAAAUGCUUUCACUACCAUGGUGGAGAAAAUAUUUUCAUGAUUGUGUGAAAGAAAAACAAUCACAAAAACCAUUUGUUGCUUGUUAAUUUGAAGAUCUAUUACGUAAUCAAGAAAUUAACCAACUAAUUAAACAUUCACAUAUCUAAACUCAUGAUUAAAGACAUAUGAACAUCAAUAGAUGUUUCACUAGAAAAUAUUUCAUAGCAUGCCAUCAAAACCACAUAAAACUAUUCCUAAUCAAUUAAUUGUUCCAUAGAUUCACCCAAUAUUGAAAAUAAAAACUAACACAUAAUAAUAAUAACAAUAAAAAGGAUAGAAAUUAUACCAAUACCGAUUACGAAACGAAGAUGACAAAGCUUCUUGAAAUCGUCACUUCUUGUUGCUCCAAAAACUUCAUCCAUAAUCCAAGUAUUAAUACAAAAAUUAACCUAAUCUAAUUACAAAGAUAAAUGAAUCACAAGACAAUAAAAUCAAUGAUAAAGAUAUCAAUGAUAAUAGUGUUUAAUUUCCAAAAAUAAAGAAAGAAGAAUCAGGGAGAAAAACCCCAAGAAGAGGCGUCGCCCACUUCUUUUCUUCUGCCGGCAAAAAAAUGAAGAUGCCCUACUGUUUUUGUGCCCUUGAUUUGCU